UUUUUUUUUUUUUUUUGUUUUUUGAGAAACAGAGUCUCACUAUGUUGCCCAGGCUAGAGCGCAGUGGCUGUUAACAGUCACAGUCAUAACACACUGCUGCAGCCUUGAAUUCCGGGGCUCAAGAGAUGAUGCUGCUUCUGCUUCCCCAGUAAUGGAUACGACAGCUGCUUUUGCCCAGUGUUGACACUGGAGCCAUAUAACAAACCUCUUUGAAAAUGACCAUCAUUUUUCUCACCUCUCAACAUUGGAAAGGGAGAUGGCUUUUCACACUGAAAUGGUUAGUUUUUAUUUGGUGUUUCAUCAUAGUACUUUAGGAAUUUAAAAACAUUUCAGAUUUUUUAUUAUGGAAAAUUUGAAGAUGUUCCAAAGUAGAAAGAGUGGAUGCUCUAGCUUCUAUAGCUGACAGCCACAGCCGGUUUUCCUUCGUCUACACCCCCACUCACUAUGUCUUUUUAUUUUUUUAUUUUUAUUUAUUAUUAUAUAUAUUUUUUGAGACAGAGUCUCGCUCUGU